rnacentral:sRNA from 1 species
GCAGGCUCUGCGGGGUGGGCAGCUCCCGGGCCUGCCAUGAGCUGUCCGCCGCCCGCCCGCAGUGGCUUUUACCGCCAGGAGGUGACCAAGACGGCCUGGGAGGUGCGCGCCGUGUACCGGGACCUGCAGCCCGUGGGCUCGGGCGCCUACGGCGCGGUGUGCUCGGCCGUGGACAGCCGCACCGGCGCUAAGGUGGCCAUCAAGAAGCUGUAUCGGCCCUUCCAGUCCGAGCUGUUCGCCAAGCGCGCCUACCGCGAGCUGCGCCUGCUCAAGCACAUGCGCCACGAGAACGUGAUCGGGCUGCUGGACGUAUUCACUCCUGAUGAGACCCUGGAUGACUUCACGGACUUUUACCUGGUGAUGCCGUUCAUGGGCACCGACCUGGGCAAGCUCAUGAAACAUGAGAAGCUAGGCGAGGACCGGAUCCAGUUCCUCGUGUACCAGAUGCUGAAGGGGCUGAGGUAUAUCCACGCUGCUGGCAUCAUCCACAGAGUGAGUCCCGGUGGAGAAGCCGCUCAUCAGCCCUCCCCCAGUGCAAUCCCCCCGCCUCCAUGUCCCACCUGUGAGGAUGUGAUGGGGUCUGGGGGCUGAGCCACGCCCCAUGCACAGCCCCUGAUGGGAACCGGCCUGGGUGCCCAGGACCUGAAGCCCGGCAACCUGGCUGUGAACGAAGACUGUGAGCUGAAGAUCCUGGACUUCGGCCUGGCCAGGCAGGCAGACAGUGAGAUGACUGGGUACGUGGUGACCCGGUGGUACCGGGCUCCCGAGGUCAUCUUGAAUUGGAUGCGCUACACGCAGACGGUGGACAUCUGGUCUGUGGGCUGCAUCAUGGCGGAGAUGAUCACAGGCAAGACGCUGUUCAAGGGCAGCGACCACCUGGACCAGCUGAAGGAGAUCAUGAAGGUGACGGGGACGCCUCCGGCUGAGUUUGUGCAGCGGCUGCAGAGCGAUGAGGCCAAGAACUACAUGAAGGGCCUCCCCGAAUUGGAGAAGAAGGAUUUUGCCUCUAUCCUGACCAAUGCAAGCCCUCUGGCUGUGAACCUCCUGGAGAAGAUGCUGGUGCUGGACGCGGAGCAGCGGGUGACAGCAGCCGAGGCGCUGGCCCAUCCCUACUUCGAGUCCCUGCACGACACGGAAGAUGAGCCCCAGGUCCAGAAGUAUGAUGACUCCUUUGACGACGUGGACCGCACACUGGAUGAAUGGAAGCGUGUUACUUACAAAGAGGUGCUCAGCUUCAAGCCUCCCUGGCAGCUGGGGGCCAGGGUCUCCAAGGAGACGGCUCUGUGAAGAUCUCUGGGCUCCGGGGUGGCAGUGAGGACCACCUUCACCUUCCACCUGAGAGGGGACUCUCGUUGCCACCUUGACCUUGGCUGGGGCUUGCAUCCCAAGGCAUCCAUCAGAGCAGACGCCCGGGUUCCAUGGACCCUCCUCCCCACGGCCAUGCCUCUGCUCUUGGGCGCCCAUCAUGGAGGAGCACCUGAACUUUCUGGACAACACCUCUGGCCGACCUGGGGAUGGCUUCUGAUCCCUGGAGCAGUGGCCCACUUGCCCGGUGCCCUCAGAAACCUCAGAGCUGGUGGGGCUCCAGAUCAGGCCUUGGCCUCUGAGCCCUGCCUGCUCUGGGCCAUACAGAGGAAGGACAGAGGGUGGGCGCAGGGCACCAACUCAGGGACAUCCCCUCUCCUGGGCGAUGUCAGUGGACCUUCCUGCACCCCCAGCCUGGAAUGUAAAUCAGCUGUGUGGUGCCCGCGUGGCUGGAAGGAAAUAGACCCUUUUGUAGCUCCC